CCUACGGGUGGCAGCAGUGGGGGAUAUUGCACAAUGGGGGAAACCCUGAUGCAGCGACGCCGCGUGGGUGAAGAAGCGCCUCGGCGCGUAAAGCCCUGUCAGCAGGGAAGUACAUGACGGUACCUGAAGAAGAAGCCCCGGCUAACUACGUGCCAGCAGCCGAGGUAAUACGUAGGGGGCAAGCGUUAUCCGGAUUUAAGGGGUGUAAAGGGGGCGCAGACGGCGGUGCAAGCCAGGAGUGAAAGCACGGGGCCCAACCCCGGGACUGCUCGUGGCACCGCGUGGCUAGAGUACAGGAGGGGCAGGCGGAAUUCGUGGUGUAGCGGUGAAAGGCGUAGAUAUCAGGAGGAACACCGGUGGCGAAGGCGGCCUGCUAGACUGCAACUGACGUUGAGGCCCGAAAGCGUGGGGAGCAAACAGGAUUAGAUACCCUGGUAGUC
rnacentral:rRNA from 1 species